rnacentral:lncRNA from 1 species
UGAAUCCACUUCUUCCUUAGACUCAAUUCAGUCGGGAAUCCUUGAAAACUUAAGUAGGGUUGGUGUUGUUUGUUAGAUGUACAAAGUGGAACAGAGCAGUGACAUCUAGCCUUUGUUUCAGCCAUUGUUGAAGUGCGCCGGAAGUGUUCAUGCACAACGAAGACAAAUCCCGCCACCGGAACCCGGAAGCGUGAUAAUCCCUUAUUGGCCUUUUUAGUAUUUUAUUAUGAACUACUGUGGUAGAAAUUAUACCAAUUAUAUUAUAAUAGACAAUUAUCGAUCCUUAUCAAUUGUUCAAGUGCAGAUACAAUCAAGAGGCAGAUCAAUGCUUCUCCAACGUCGUAGGAAUGGUCCACCUGCCAGCUUGUCCCCCUUAGGGUCCAGUCGCUCAGCGGAGUAUUCGGAACUGUUAAAAAACUGCUUAAAAGAGGACGUUGUAAUGUUGAAGCGUAUAUAUGUUUCAGUUCACACGAAUUGAAAGCUGAGUUUAAUCUCCUCGCCACGCAACGAAAGAAACCUGUUGUGACUCGUCAGUUUUCCCCUCCCGCUUAUAGACCAUGUUGCUAUUGGAGCUACUCCCAUAGCUGCUUUUGGAGCUACUCCCAUAGCUGCUUUUGGAGCUACUCCCAUAGCUGCUAUUGGAGCUACUCCAAAGCAACAACUGGGCGGCCGUUUGCCCUCUCUUCUUCGAUUAUGUUCCAAUAAUUGCAAAGUAUUCCCUCCGUACAUGGUCAUUCAACACUGACCAAGUGUUUUGUAAAUAACAGUUAGUUACAUUACAGGACUCGGAUGUAUAUAUAUAUAUAUAUAUAUAUAUAUAUAUAUAUAUAUAUAUAUAUAUAUAUAUAUAUAUAUAUAUAUAUAUAUAUUGCAUUGCAUUGCAUUGCAUAUGGCAUUGAAUUUCUGACCACAUGACCAAGGGUUAUACGGUGAAAGAUGGAACACGUAGAUGGCCCGUUGCUGUAUUCUACAGAAGUGGUGGCCAAUCUUAGACUUUAGGUGUAGGCCUAUCACAUAAUGGACAUCAACACCUUUGGCGGACUACUUAAUAUGGCAACGGUAAAAAAAAAGAGAUAAAUACAACUGCGGUUGCUGAGCAAAGAGUGCCAGCUGGAAGACCAGUUCUGUAGACAGCUGCAGGCAACACGACAAUGGUGCUCCAUGUUGACAUUCAGGAGAUCCUGUUUGAACAAGCAAAUCCUGUUGGCGCAAGCAAGGCACUGCCUAUGCAAAGCAAGGCCUAUAUGGGACCGGAUUAACUUGUUCUUGCCGUGUACGUCGGAUCGGAUACUUUAUGUUAUGUAAAAUACAGUUAAAAAUAAGGGAACUAAAAUACAACUGGGGUUGUUGUCUGUCUCAGAUGUAAUUUGACGACAUCCCCACGGUGACGACCAGGCGCAUCGUUAGACCUGGGCAUUCGAGGCUAGCCCCGGAUCUUUUGGGAAUAGCACUUAAUUGACAUCAAGACCUUUGGCGGACUACUUCAUAUGGCAAUGGUAAAAAAAAGAUGAAUACAAAUUCAGUGUAUAAGCAAAGAGUGCCAGCGGGGCCCCCUUCAUACACAAGUUCUGUAAGAAGGCACUGGCCAGUGGGAGACCGAGAAGAGAGGGUCUGAAACGCUGCUCAUCCUCCCAGGGGGUUUAUUUAGCAGUCGAGAUUUACACAAAACAUCAAUGGUAAACGUUAUUGCGCAAAAACUUCAAUGGAAAGCAGAAAGAGACACUAUUAAAGUUAAUGUCCACACCUGUUUGAGCACGCAAACAGAGCACUGCUCUGUUUGCGUGCUCAAACAGGUGCCCGGCCUCACCCAGCUCCAGAGUCACUUCAGUCUGACUGAAGACAACCAUGCAGACUCUCAUGCCAGGGGCCAAGUCUCUCCCUAAACUUUGUCUGUGCAAUGCAUAGGCAAGGCAAACCCAUGAUUCGCGCAAGGUGAUCCAGCCCUAGGUACAAGGUGAGGGUGCCGUUUCAUUGCAGACAGUCUUCAGAGAGAGAAAGAGAGAUUACUAUUUAUGUCACGACUCAGAACGGGAAUCAAUUGCAGAUCAAACAAGGGUUUAUUCACAAACAGUCCAGCAGGCGAAUCAGACUCCAGGUACAGGCAGGGUUCGUAAACAGGCAGGCAGGCCGCGGAUACAGAUGGACAGGUACAGGCAAGAGAUCCAAAACCGACAGGGAGAAGACUUAGUCCAAAACAGGUGGGGUUCAAAACCGGGAAGAGCAGUAAACUAUAGCUUCUCUUUAGAGCUUCACGCUAGUCUCACUCACGUGGCUGUCAGGUACUGGAGUAUCUAGGGAAAUGUGGCUCUGUGACCGGGUACUGUGAUAUACGGAAUUGAAUUUAAACAGGUAAAAAGGCAGCUUCCCAAGGAGGGCUCUGUGAAUAAAAAGAAGGCAGUGCCUAUCCCUCCUAACAGACUAUGAGGGCCACCCCACAUUUUUGUACAGUGCCCAAUGCUGAGUUUAAAAUGGUCUCCAGUGAUAAAACGGAUGGCACUGUGAUAGACAUUGUCAAGAGGUUUUAAAACGGGGCAGCAUGCAUACACAAUGUCCCCAUAGUCCAAAACUGACAAAAUUGUUGACAUUCAGUAAUAAAAAAAUAAUUAAUAACAACACACACACACACACGCACGCACGCACGCACGCGCACACACACACACACACACACACACACACACACACACACACACACACAAUAUGCUGGUUCUUUCAGUCCAAACCGUAUUGUAUUUUAUAGGCUACAAUAUCCGGUGGCCCUGAAGUGCAAAACACAACAGGAUUAGAGAGACCAAAACUGGAAAGGAAGGUACAGCUUCUUUUUAUUUUUUUCAAGAGGUUGGUAGUUAUUGAACAAUGAGGCCUUGUCUUGAUUUGAUAGCGUGUGUCAGAUACAUUUGAACCAGAACUAAAAUACCAGGCAGAUCAUUUAGAACAAGUUCUUAUUUACAGUGAUGGCCUGACAAAAAGUGCAAGCUUCAUAGGGGGGAAGGGGAAAGGGGCAGUGAGAAAGGAUAGGUUAGAGGCAACAGCACACAAACACAGCUGUAUAGACAUACAACAAGGCAGCAACAGGGACCUGCAGGGUUAACAUACAGGUACUCAGACAAACAACAAGCAUGAAAGUUGGAAAGCGGCCAAAACCGUUUGGCCGCAACAGCCAAUCAAAUUCGAUCGCGAAGCCGCCAAACAGGAAGUAAGACAUUUUCUCAGCAGCCCUUCCACAUAUCGUAACCAAACUUAGUACAUAGACCCAUGACAUCAUCAUGGUGACACUCAUCAAAUUUGGCCCUAUAAUUAAUGAAGAUGUGUUAUAACUCCUCUCACUUGAGUAUAUUUCAAACUUAUUUUCAAGGUCUGGUGAUACUGUCAGACCUCCCCAUAUAUCUAAUAAAUUAUUUCUCAUGGACGCAUCAGAAUUUGGCUACCAUUUGAAAGUUGUCCACCUCCAUAGUACAUAUCCACCGGCCACAAAUUCUUUCUAAUCUUCAUGAAACAUGCCUGAUA